rnacentral:rRNA from 1 species
ACAAUGGAUGUAGAGGAAAGUGGCGGACGGGUGAGUAACGCGUGAGGAACCUGCCUUGAAGAGGGGGACAACAGUUGGAAACGACUGCUAAUACCGCAUGACACAUAGAUGUCGCAUGGCAUUUAUGUCAAAGAUUUAUCGCUGAAAGAUGGCCUCGCGUCUGAUUAGCUGGUUGGUGGGGUAACGGCCCACCAAGGCGACGAUCCAUAGCCGGCCUGAGAGGGUGAACGGCCACAUUGGGACUGAGACACGGCCCAGACUCC